rnacentral:rRNA from 1 species
CCUACGGGAGACAGCAGUAGGGAAUCUUCCACAAUGGGCGCAAGCCUGAUGGAGCAACGCCGCGUGGGUGAAGAAGGUCUUCGGAUCGUAAAACCCUGUUGUUAGAGAAGAAAGUGCGUGAGAGUAACUGUUCACGUUUCGACGGUAUCUAACCAGAAAGCCACGGCUAACUACGUGCCAGCAGCCGCGGUAAUACGUAGGUGGCAAGCGUUAUCCGGAUUUAUUGGGCGUAAAGGGAACGCAGGCGGUUUUUUAAGUCUGAUGUGAAAGCCUUCGGCUUAACCGGAGUAGUGCAUUGGAAACUGGGAGACUUGAGUGCAGAAGAGGUGAGUGGAAUUCCAUGUGUAGCGGUGAAAUGCGUAGAUAUAUGGAAGAACACCAGUGGCGAAGGCGGCUCACUGGUCUGUAACUGACGCUGAGGUUCGAAAGCGUGGGUAGCAAACAGGAUUAGAUACCCUAGUAGUC